GGCAGGGUUUUGUCUUGAACUCACUUUGUGGCCCAGGCUGGCCUCAAACUCACGGUGAUCCUCCUGUCCUAGCCUUUCAAGUGCUGGUAUUACAAGCAUAUACCAGAGAGCUGGCUAGAGUUCUGUCAUGGGCCAGUAACUGGAAUGGUGAACAAAAACCUGAGACCCUGAGGACUUCAUGGAGCUGAACUGCUACCUGAAAAAUAGAUACAGUCCCAGCGUGUCCUCACCUGAUAUCUCCUUUUGUCUGUGAGAAAGGGAGAAGGAGCUGCCCUUUUGUAGGUCCACCACCAAGCUGCUAUAAUGUUAUCACAUGUAUGACUUUUCACAGUUUCUCGGGAGCCGGGCCUCUCCCAGCUGCUCACGGGAUAGGCAGAAUUUCCUGACGCCCUGAGCGUGCGUUGUGUUCCAGGUAGACAGAGGACAGAAAGACUGCUCUGCUAUCCACCUUCACCUAAGUGACCUAGGUGGGAGUGGCUCGUUUAAAGCCCAGAUGAUCAUUAUGAAUGGACGAGACUUCUCAGUGUUUCUCUGUAAGUUUGCAUUUCUCAUUAGUCAUCAAUUUUUAACAGUUUAAAGUUCAUUAUUAAAUUUUUUACUUUUUCAAUGUUAA